UGGUAAUUAUUUGUGAAUAUGGCUGUCUCCUCUCUGGGUGAUGAGUGUCUGGAGCAGGGGACUUCUUGGCUUCUUUAAUUCUCUCACUGUCUGAUGUGGUGCCCCAUAAAUACUGAUUGAUGAUUGCAGGGAUGAAUGGGGCUUUCAGAAGUUAGGAUGAGCCUGACUGAAAGAUGGGAUUCUCAGUCCCCUUUAAUGAUUUGACACGCAUGAGCACUGGAGUUCAGGAGGCCAUUUUCAGAUAGUCCUUUCUUAGUAAUAAGCAUUUUAGGUGAAAAAAUACAUUUGAUUUCAGCUUUAUGGUCAGGCUUCUUUAUGUACAUUCAGUUGCAUGUAACUGGUGACAAUGACAAAAAUAGAAAUAUUAAUAGCUUACCAGGGAGCAUCCCACAUGUGCCAGACAUUCUGGUAAGCAGCCUUUCAUGGGUAAUAUUAUUUCCUGCUCACAAGAACACUGUGAGGUAUGUACCAUUAUGCCACCUUGCAGAAAGAGUGAUUAAGGGACUUAGAGUCCCAGGAUCAGUAGGUAGUGGAGUCAGGACCUGAACUCGUGGAGGCUGAUUCCAGAAUGUUCAGUAGGAAUGUCAGAGUCAAAUAAGGGCCCCGAGAAACAGGUGGGGCUCCUCUAACUGCCCUAAGCAGGUGCAAGGCUUCAAUUCGGCUUGUGAUUUCUUGCCCUGGUAGAAUUCCCAAGGUAUCGAGCACUUCCUGUUUUCAUAUUAUCUAUAAAUGCCCGUCAGUCUUCCAGAGUUCAUAAAGAUUGAGUCUCUCAUCUGAUGGAAGCCAGUCAGCUGGGAUUCUGGUUGUGUCUUUAGACUCAGAAGAAACUUGUGGGAUUAAGUGGUUUUCUGGAAAAUGUUGGUCAAAAGCCACAUCCACCCCAAAUUGCUGUAUGAAUGAAACGUGGCUUUUCUUUGUGUUCUGAAUAAUUCUAAUGGUGGCCUCGAGCUUCUAUUUCCCUGUGUUGGUGUGGAGUCCACCAAAACAGCUUCGUUAAAAACAAUGAAAAGGAUGAAAAAAAAAAUACGCACCUUGGCUGUGUGUGGUGGCGCACGUCUGUAAUCUCAGGGGCUUGGGAAGCUGAGGCAAGAGGAUUGUGAGUUCAAAGCCAGCCUCAGCAACAGCAAGGGGCUAAACAACUCAGUGAGACCCUGUCUCUAAAAUAAAUAAACAGUACAAAAAUAGGGCUGGGGAUGUGGCUCAGUGGUUGAGUGCCCCUGAGUUCAAUUCCUCGUACCAAAAAUAAAUAAAUAAAUAUAAAAAAAAUACUCCUUGUUAUUUGUUUGCCAUUUGGAAAGACUCUUAGGACCCAUGAACAAUAACAAAAAAUGUUAGUUUUAAGAUUGACUAGCUUUAAAAAUGUUAUCCAGAGCUUAUUCCGGGGGUGGGGUGGGGGGGUCUCUAUCUUAUAUCUGGUUAUUUUUAGGUUUUGUAUUUGCAUAUUUUAAGUAUUGCAUUUUCAAUUCUCAAUAGACAAUACUCAGUUAGAUUCUUCAAAAUAACUUCAAGUUGUAUCCGAUGCUCAAAUGUGCCAAAUGCUAACAAGGAGCAGAAAUAUGAUUGCUUUUAAAUCAGUAAUAUAUUUUUGCAGUUGAAUUUUGUUAAAGAUUUAUAGUAAUGUUAAAUAUAAAGGUAAAUUUCCUUCCUUUAAACAUCAGAACUCAUUAUAAGAUGAAAAACAGUGACACAUGUCUAGGUGUGUAUGACAAUUAUUAUCAUGCCAAGUUUUUCUGUGAUACAGUUCAUGUGAAUUAUGACAAUAUUUUGCCCUAUUGUUUUUAUUUAUCAGCUUUCUUUACAGAUGACAGUGAAUGAAAUAAGAAAUACCAAGUUGCCCUAGCAUAUUUAUUCUCAAGGAAUUCUCUCUCUCUCUCUCUCUCUCUCUCUCUCAUUGGGGAUUGAAUCCAGGACCUCUUAACCACUAAGCCACAUCCCCAGCCCCUUUUAUUUGUAUUUCAUUUAGAGAUAUGGUCUCACUAAGUUGCUUAGGGCCUCAAUAACUUGCUGAGGCUAGGUUUCAAGUUGCAAUCCUCCUUCCUCAGCCUCCUGAGCCGCUGGGAUUACAGGUGUAUGCCACUGCACCUGGUCAGGUAAUUCUCUUUUUAACCAUAUCACUCAACCUGGAUAUAGAAAAGCUCUUAAUAAUGAGGAAGGUCUUGAACACAAUGGAUGGAGAAUAAUUGUAGCAUCACCAAGAAACAAUUGUAUGUAAAUGCAUUCUCAACCCUUUCACUUGCUGGGAGACAAGUACUUAUGAAGAUUUUGUAGAUAUAAGCAUCCUUAUCUGACGUAGGUAGAGAUUAGUCCCUGCCUAAUCUUCCAAAAGAACUUGCAGAUGCCACUCUAUACUGGAUAACUUAGGCUUAUCCUUGGCUAUUUAGAAUAGUCAAGGUAUUUCUUAAAAAUAUAUCAUAAGACUCGAGUGAGUUACGGGAAUCUGACUUUACAUAUGCAUGUUGAUAUUUGAAUCCACUUAAAAUGAUAGACCUACAGAACUUAAUAUUAGAAGAUACUUCAGAGAGGUUUUCUUAGUCCCUUUGAGUUGCUAUCAUAAAAUACCAUGAACCAGACACUGUAUACUAACAACAUUUAUUUCUCACAGUUCUGGGAAAUCCAAGACCAAGAAAUAGCAGAUCUGAUGUCUGAUGGGAGAGGGCCAUCUUCCUGGUUUGCAGAUGUCAUCUUCUCAUCGUGUCGUGCUGAAGAGGAGAGAGGGAAAGAGAGAUCCCCUGUAUCCCCUAUCUUCCCUCUUUAUAAAGGCAUUGACGGCAUUUAUGAGGAUUCCACCAUCAUUACCUAACACCUCCCAAUGGCUUCACCUCCAACUACAAGGAUAUUUGAGUUUUAAGUUUUAGCAAAUGGAUUUUGGAGGAGAACAUAUUGAGCCCAUAAGACUGACCAUCUCCCCGCUGGUCUAUCCCUGCGUUUACAUGAACAAAUUCACCCGAAAACAGCCAAACCUGCCCAGCUGACCUAGAUCUAGGUCCUUAAAUAAUAAUAAAUAGUUAUUGUUUGAAGCCACUGAGUUUGGGGGUGAUUAAUCAGCUUGCACAAUUGAAGCAACAGAUUAGUGAUAUUCCAGAGUUGACAAUAAGACCAACUCGAUGGCAAGAGUCAGACAUUCCCCAAACCACAUAUAAUAUCCAAUUUUAUUUAGAAGCAGUCAAAGCAGUUCUUGGUUUUAGUAAUCUGGUUCAAUGCUCCAUUGAUUUGGAUGUACAUGUAAUUAUCCUUUUCUAUAAUUUCUACAGAAGAUUAAUUGAAAUUGGGCUUGGAAAUUAUUAAGUCAAACCCAUUCACUUUAUAGGAAAGGUGUCCUAGCCAGCUGAAGUAACUUCUGAGUCUAUAGCUGCUCUGUUGGAUAUUAAUAAAGACUAGAGCUGAACAGUUUUGCUGCUUCCAUUGGAAGUCUUGAUUCAGCUCUUAGUGAUAUAUCCUAAAAAAGAAAAAAAAAAAUGCGACGCUUGUAAUAUUUUAUGCACAGGUUAUAACUAGUGCCACCAUAUUAAAAAAGAAAAUCAGCCAGGCACAGUGGCACACACCUUGAGUCCCAGUGCCUCAGAAGGCUGAGGCAAGAGGAUUGCAAGUUCAAGGCCAGCCUCAGCAACUUAGCGAGGCCCUAAGUAACUUAGCAAGACUAUCUCUCUCAAUAAGACAUAAAAAGUACUGGAAAUGUGGCUCAGGGGAAAGCACCCCUUGGUUCAAUCCGUAAGACCAAAAAUAUUUUAAAAAUUCAGUGGUGUCUAUACCUUUGACCGCAUUCAACUACCACCUACAGCAAAUAUAUCUGCAGUCUUGAUGUGGAGACUUAGCAAACUGCCAUCAACAAGGUGCAUCUACUUGCAUGUGAGCUUGGGAGUAAAUGGAGACCAUUGAAUAAAUGCGGAUUCAUGAUUUGGAUGGUGAAGCAAAGUUUUUUCCUUUUAGAUCAAGGUCCUAUUUGCCUUGCCACUCAAACGUCUUACCUUGUGACAUCCUUUGUCAUUCUGCAAUUUCUUGCAUCAUUCAAAGACUGCAAAUGUGUGUUACAGUCUCGAGUGCACCAUGAAACACAGCUCUGAGCUGUUUCCUAUGGGGAGUAAACUGUCAUUUUUCACCACAUUAAAUUUUAUAAGUUUCAAGCGAAUGGAAAAUGGAUUUUAUUAUUUUCUCCCCGCCCCCCCCCCUUUUUUUUGCCAUGAAUGUUUUAUGGCUGCAAAAACAGAAUUUGUGGUUUCAACUGUUCAAGUUUGAUGCAGAAAGCUAUGGAACCUCUUAUGUAACCUGAUGGCCUGAAUAAUUAUCAAAAUAUUUUGCUUUCCACCCUUUCUAAGCUUUAGCAGCAGCAAAAAAAAUAGUGUAUGCAACCUUUUGACCACAAAAUCAUAAUAAUGAGAAAGGCCCUUUUACAAGGUCUGCUCUACACCUACACCAAGGAUGCUAUAACUGGGGGAGGCUGGAGCUCAGGGGGCCAGGCCAGUGUUCCAGAACUUAUCAGGGAGUGCCUUUUACAAAGAAGGAACAGAGUCUAUAAGCAGGAAAGCCAGGGUUGAGUAGAGGGGGAAAUGGAAUGCAGACUACUUAGAGGCUCAGGACCACAGGGUUCUUUGUCCCUUUUGAAAGCAGAAGUCAUAUUGAUCUAAAAAAAUUACAGGAUGAGAAAAUUGUGUGUGUGUGUGUGUGUGUGUGUGUGAUUCUUUGAUUUGCACACAACAUUAUUUCUCAAUGGCUACUGAGAAUAGGAUGUCCUCUUAGAUUUUUCCACAAUGGCAUUACCCCAGACAUGUGAGACUCAAUUUAUGAAAUCUGGGUCCUGGGCAAAUGCUAGCAAGCCAGAUUCUUAAAAUGAAUUCUAUAAUCUAUUCAUCUAUUUUAUAUAAAACACAAUAUAUUGAACUAAAAAUGUAGCUAUACAUUUGUGAUUUUUUUUAACUUCAGAAAUUAUUAAGAUCUACUUACUCCCGGUUUUAAACUACCUAUAGUUGUCAAUUUAUGUUCUUUAGGUUUCUUAAAUAGGGCAUUUCUUCAUGAGGUUCAAGAUCCAUGUACAUCAACAUGUAUGUAAACUAUAAAAAGCUCUGCUGUAAUGUAAAUAUCUCCAGUUGUAUCCCACCUCCCAAUAAUAAAAGAGUCAUUAUCUAUUUAUUAAAUUUCAAUG
rnacentral:lncRNA from 1 species